ensembl:snoRNA SNORD39 Small nucleolar RNA SNORD55/SNORD39
UGCGUAUGAUGACACCUGGGUAUGCUGCAAACUCCUGACUGUGCAGUGGGGAGGCCAACCUUGGAGAGCUGAGCGUGCG